rnacentral:rRNA from 1 species
UACAGAGGGUGCGAGCGUUAAUCGGAAUUACUGGGCGUAAAGCGUGCGUAGACGGUUAUGUAAGUCGGAUGUGAAAGCCCCGGGCUCAACCUGGGAAUGGCAUUCGAGACUGCAUAGCUAGGAUGCGGAAGAGGGAAGCGGAAUUUCCGGUGUAGCGGUGAAAUGCGCAGAUAUCGGGAGGAACACCAGUAGCGAAGGCGGCUCGCUGGGCCAUUCCUGACGCUGAGACGCGAAAGCUAGGGGAGCGAACAGG